GGUUUUAUAGUCAAUUGUUAUGACGUUGGACUGCAAUUCCGAAGUAGUAUUAUUAAGUACUAAGACCU
rnacentral:tRNA from 1 species